rnacentral:rRNA from 1 species
UGGGGAAUAUUGCACAAUGGGCGCAAGCCUGAUGCAGCCAUGCCGCGUGUAUGAAGAAGGCCUUCGGGUUGUAAAGCACUUUCAGUCGGGAGGAAGGUGGUAAGGUUAAUAACCUUAUCAAUUGACGUUACCGACAGAAGAAGCACCGGCUAACUCCGUGCCAGCAGCCGCGGUAAUACGGAGGGUGCAAGCGUUAAUCGGAAUUACUGGGCGUAAACCGCACGCAGGCGGUUGAUUGAGUCAGAUGUGAAAUCCCCGGGCUUAACCCGGGAAUUGCAUCUGAUACUGGUCAGCUAGAGUCUUGUAGAGGGGGGUAGAAUUCCAUGUGUAGCGGUGAAAUGCGUAGAGAUGUGGAGGAAUACCGGUGGCGAAGGCGGCCCCCUGGACAAAGACUGACGCUCAGGUGCGAAAGCGUGGGGAGCAAACAGG